rnacentral:rRNA from 1 species
AAUGAUCCUGCUCAGAUUGAACGCUGGCGGGAUGCUUUACACAUGCAAGUCGAACGGCAGCACGGACUUCGGUCUGGUGGCGAGUGGCGAACGGGUGAGUAAUGUAUCGGAACGUGCCUAGUAGCGGGGGAUAACUACGCGAAAGCGUAGCUAAUACCGCAUACGCCCUUCGGGGGAAAGCGGGGACCUUCGGGCCUCGCACUAUUAGAGCGGCCGAUAUCGGAUUAGCUAGUUGGUGGGGUGUAACGGCUCACCAAGGCGACGAUCCGUAGCUGGUUUGAGAGGACGACCAACCACUGGGACUGAGACACGGCCCAGACUCCUACGGGAGGCAGCAGUGGGGAAUUUUGGACAAUGGGGGGAAACCCUGAUCCAGCCAUCCCGCGUGUGCGAUGAAGGCCUUCGGGUUGUAAAGCACUUUUGGCAGGAAAGAAACGGCAUCGGAUAAUACCCCGUGCAACUGACGGCCUGCAGAAUAAGCACCGGCUAACUACGCCAGCAGCCGCGGUAAUACGUAGGGUGCAAGCGUUAACGGAAUUACUGGGCGUAAAGCGUGCGCAGGCGGUUCGGAAAGAAAGAUGUGAAAUCCCAGAGCUUAACUUUGGAACUGCAUUUUUAACUACCGAGCUAGAGUGUGUCAGAGGGAGGUGGAAUUCGCGUGUAGCAGUGAAAUGCGUAGAUAUGCGGAGGAACACCGAUGGCGAAGGCAGCCUCUGGGGAUAACACUGACGCUCAUGCACGAAAGCGUGGGGAGCAAACAGGAUUAGAUACCCUGGUAGUCCACGCCCUAAACGAUGUCAACUAGCUGUUGGGGCCUUCGGGCUCUGGUAGCGCAGCUAACGCAUGAAGUUGACCGCCUGGGGAGUGUUUGGUCGCAAGAUUAAAACUCAAAGGAAUUGACGGGACCCGCACAGCGGUGGAUGAUGUGGAUUAAUUCGAUGCAACGCGAAAAACCUUACCUACCCUUGACAUGUCUGGAAUCCCGGAAGAGAUUUGGGAGUGCUCGCAAGAGAACCGGAACACAGGUGCUGCAUGGCUGUCGGGUCAGCUCGUGUCGAGAUGUUGGGUUAAGUCCCGCAACGAGCGCAACCCCUUGUCAUUAGUUGCUACGAAAGGGCACUCUAAUGAGACUGCCGGUGACAAACCGGAGGAAGGUGGGGAUGACGUCAAGUCCUCAUGGCCCUUAUGGGUAGGGCUUCACACGUCAUACAAUGGUCGGGACAGAGGGUCGCCGAACCGCGAGGGGGAGCCAAUCCCAGAAAACCCGAUCGUAGUCCGGAUCGCAGUCUGCAACUCGACUGCGUGAAGUCGGAAUCGCUAGUAAUCGCGGAUCAGCAUGUCGCGGUGAAUACGUUCCCGGGUCUUGUACACACCGCCCGUCACACCAUGGGAGUGGGUUUUACCAGAAGUAGUUAGCCUAACCGUAAGGAGGGCGAUUACCACGGUAGGAUUCAUGACUGGGGUGAAGUCGUAACAAGGUAA